ACAUCAUUGGGAAUGGAGGGAAAUAACUGACUGUAUGGUCGUUGCUUUUUAAGUUUCAAACUGACAUUCCAGGCGGGCUGUGCCUGAGCCAGCAUCUGCUUUCAGAUCUUCACAGCCUGGUCCUGGGAAGGUGGAGCCCUCAGCUUCUCCCUGGACUCCCAUGGACCAGAAACAAAACCAAAAACUCGAAUCCCCAACUCAGGCUUUUACUUGAAGCUGGGACCUGGUGGUGGUAUGUCCUGGCCUCUGAGAGCAGCACGAGGCUUGGAGGCCCUGGCGGAGCCCUGGCAGAGAGAUCUUCGGCGAGACAGGCAUCUCUGCUACCUGGCAGGAGGAGACCCCCAGCAGGGCUUGGACUCAUCUGACUAGAAAGAUGAGCAGCUGGUUUGGGAGAUGGGCCAAGUGCGGUGCUGGAGGGGAUAGGACACGGCUGAAGGCUGAGGUGUGCAGCCUCCAGCAUCUCUCUUCUUGACGAAUUGGAUCCCUACAAGGAGAUUCUCAAGCUGAUGAAAACUUCUGAGCAGAGGAGCGGGUUCCAGCAGGCCCCCAGACGUGAGGUGACGGCCACAAGUGAGCGUGGGACACGCCUCCACACGGCACACAGCUGAGGUCCGGCCCCAGACCUUCCAUCCUGUGGUCUUGACACCUAGGAUAUCUGGCCAGGCUCUGGUGACCUGGCCAGGAUUCAGGGGUAUGGCGUCCACCUGGGCACCCAGCUACUUACCUGCUGUAUCCGGCUGCCCCUGGGGAGAAAAAAGAACACAGGUAUCUUACUUUUUAAAUUUUAAAAAGUAUUUUUAAUCGAUAACCCUUGCCCAUGGUCCAAAGUGUCAGAGAUUCAAACCAGUGUGUGGAGAAGAGUCUCCCUCUCAGCCUGACUCCCUGGACCCCCAGAGGCAACCAUCAGUGUCAGAUUCCUAAGGAUCCUGUUGGGGCUAUUCUUUGCACAAACUCCAGCUUUAUUUUGUUGCAUAAAGGACAACAUACUUUACUACAGUUUAUUUAACUAGUUACAGAAUGUUAGACAUUUGGGUUGUAUCCCGUCUUUGGCAAAUACAAGCGAUGUUGCCUAAAUAUCCAUAUAUGUGCACGCAGCUCACCCAUGUGUAAGAAUUUCUGUAGAUGAAUUCUCAGAGGCAGAGUUCCCAGGUAAAGGGAUAAGUGCAUUUGCAGUUUUGGUGUUGCAAAAUUUCUCUCCAUCAAAACCGUACUAUUCUACGAACAACUAGGAUGAAUAAAAGUGCCUGUUUCCAAACAUCUUUUUGAAUACGGCAUGUGAUUAAAGUUAGACCAUCUGAAAGAUGAAAAAUGGCAUCUUGGUGUAAAUGUAAAUGGCAUUUUCUUUCCUUGAAUGAUGUUGUUUCUUCCAAUGCUUCAGGACCAUUUGUAUUCCCAUUCCUGUAUCUUGUCAGUUCACAUCCUUUGCCCCUUUUUCUACUUGACUGUUGGUCUUUCAUUGAUUUAGAGGAGUCUUUAUAUAUUAGGGAUAUUUGUGCUGUCUGUGAUAUUAAUUAAAAUAGUUUUUCUCAGUUUGACAUUUGAGUUUGUGGUAGGUUUGGCCAUGCAGGGAAAACUUGAUUUUUAUGUAGUUAUUUUCAUCAAAUUAUUUUGCUUUCUGGUUUUGUGUUUUGUGUUUAUGCUAAUCAAGGUAUUCCUCCCUCUGAAGUGAAGAAAUCAUUAUUAUUUUCUUUUAGUACUUUUAUGGUUUCAUUUUUUUUACAUUUAACUCUUUGAUCUGUGUAGCUUUUGGUUGGCUACGUAGUAAUUGAAGUGUGGAUUCACCUUGCUACCGAAUGCGAGUUUGUGUGCCCAAUGCUCGGAGAGGCCAGACAAACCAAAACAUCAGAGUUUGGAGCAGAGAAGGGUUUAUUGCAGGGCCAAGCAAGGAGAUGGGUGGCUCAUGCCCAAAAAACCCUGAACGGAAGGGUUUCAGCGCUUUUAAAGGCCAGGUGAGGGGGGGGGGGUGAUGGGUUGUUGCAGACUUCUUGGUGUUGGAAUCCUUUGUUCUUGCAGCUGUCCACGUAGGUCAGGUCACCAUGUUCCUGUAAACCUCCAACAAGACGAAUGGUGUUCUCUGUUCUGCAACUUUUAACCUCUGUGUGAAUGGAAAAGUGUUGUACCCUUAAAGGUCAGAGUCUUGAGAAUGGGCUAUCCUGUAUAUUUUAGGCUAUAGGCAGCAUUCUUAACUCAAAGCAAAGGCAAUAGAAUACAAGGGUUAAAGUAAAAGACACAAAUCUAAUAUGGAGUCAGAGUUGUUCUUCCCUAUUGCAACCUUUUUUCUCCAGAUGGCUGCCCUGUAGUCCCAGUACUAUUCCUGAAUCGCCCAUCUUUCCCCACUGGCCUCGCUCGCCCCUGCCUCUCCAUGGGCCUCCCACUCCGAGGAACAGAGAUGCUUUUAAGUGAGAAACACAUAACUCACAGGUUCAGAAGGCCAGGCCAGGAAACGUCCCCAAAGGCCUUCCUUUUUAUCUAUGGUUUAAAAUGCAGAGAAAAUACUCCUCACUUUAGAAAAUACAACCUUUUCUGUUGGCUUACCUUCCCAUCCUGUCACAUUUUAAAUCUUCCUCCAUCACCCAGCAGUCUGGCCCCCCACGGUUUGAAGGUGCGCAUUCACACUGCUGGCCCCGUAUGAAAAGUCCAAGACUUGCCAGACUUGGUGACGUCAGCAGGACUGGGUCUCAGUCACCCCAUCUCUCUGCUUUGCCUCCCUCUUAUCCUCCACCUCCACCCCCAGAGAUGGCUAUGAGUUGGCUGCCAGAAGCUCAGCUCACAGCCUGCCCUCUUAGCAGCCCAGGUGACAGACGUCUGGGAACGUCAGUGACAGGACCAGCUGCUCAUCCUGGACUGGUCACUGGGAAUGGGACAUGGGGCGUGCUGGUUAGUGGUUCCGGGUCACUUGUCCACUUCUGGAUCAGACAGCCCACCUAAAUGAUGUGGGACUUCUGGGAAGGUAUAUUAAAAAGAGUUGACUCAGUUGUGGAGAUAUUCCCUUCCUCCCUCUUUGGGACAUGGAUGUGAAAGCAGGAGCUCCCGCAGCUGUCUUGUGACCUUGAGGGCAGAAGUAGAAAGACAAGAAGAAACAAGCUCUUCUAUGGGUACAUAUAUUUAGGGACCUACACUUCUGGGUGGGGAACGGAUAUCAGGUGCCAAAUUUGCUCACUUCCAAUAUUUACCUCAACAGUCACAUUGACUCUGUUGUGGCCAGUGAUGUGUGAUCCUUAUUGAUGGUUAAUUGACUCCCACUUGGAAACCUGUGACACAGCCUCCACUCCUGGGGGUUAGGUUUGAUCUGUAUCAUUGGGUUACCUUCUUCUUUUUAACCCAGGCUUCUACAGACCUAGUCCACUGAGAAAUUAUUUAAAUUUUACUCAACUGUGAUGAAGCAACUUCUGGACUAGUUUUAUCUCUGCUACAGUAUGUCACAGAGCAGCAGGGUGGAAAGUCUCAGAAAUGAAUCCAACAUGCAUUUUUUCUGUGUAAAAGGUAGAAUAUUCCUGAGGAUCGUGUUAACCACUCCCCCCUUUCAUACUCUCAGUCCGUGAAUGAUUACACUGACCCCUCCUCUUUGUCCCAUAAUUAAUCAUUUUUACAGGUUGCCAUCUUAAAGAGAAAGAAAGAAAGAAGUUAUCAAAUCCAAACCCCUAGAAGAGUGGGGUCCAUGCCUGCUCCCCUGGGCCAAGAUGACAACCAGCAACUGGGAGAGUCUCCCCAGGGGCCCAAGUGUGACCUCAAGUCCCGUAGACCUUGGAGUCCUAAUCUUCCCUGGAUGGUACUAUCAUUGAGAGGCAGGUGACAUGCUGUUCCAAGGGGCAGAAUUGGGACACGCCCUGAUGUGACAUCCAUCAAACAUGUGCAGACAGAUGGUAUGGCCCUCACACAACCUUGUCUCUUCCAGGCUGCACAUAAUCAUCUUCCCCAACUGCUUCAUGUAAUUCAAGGUUCCCAGCAAUCUAAACAUGCCAAUUGACAUUGUCAGGGCACAAUAUAAGAUAUUUUGCUUCCUUUUGACUUUGUUUAGUUUCAAUACCAUUUUUGUCCUUAUAGCGCUUUUUUUUUCUAAAAAAAAAAAAAAAACACCUGUAAAGCCCAUCACCUAGAGAUGAAAGAAGAAACAAAAUGUUGGCCAUUUUUUUUUCUGUAUAUAAAAAAGUAUAUCGUAUUUUACUUUACAAUACUGGGAUCAUAAUAUCUCUAGCAGUUUUCAUUAGGAAAUAGUCUUUUAUAAUAUGCUUAAUGUCUGUGUAAUAGUUCACCUUAUAAAUGUAUCAUGAAUUAUUUAGCCAUACCUGGCUGGCUUGCCUCUAAUUAGAAAAAAUUUCAUGAAGUGUCACCACUGGGUGAGGUUAAUCUCAGCCAAUCCUCCUGACAUCCCCGUCAGGCAGGAAUUAUGAUUAUCUUCAGUUUAUGACUUGGAAGGCUAAAUAAACUACUCAAAGACACUCAGCUACUGAGUGCCAGGAGGGAGACUCUAAUUAGCACCCCCAGCUACACUGUUGCCCUGUCCCUGUACCCUUGUAUGUACCGUCAUCUAUUUUUGCCAUCUUGAAAGACAAAUGUUAGCUUACUCUUGUUUUGUUUUAUUUGAUCUUUUUUAAAUUUGUACUUAUUUUUUUGCUGCCUUGGGUCUUUGUUGCUGCAUAUGGGCUUUCUCUAGUUGCAGCGAGCGGGGGCUAGUCUUCGUUGCAGUGCACGGGCUUCUCACUGCGGUGGAUUCUCUUGUUGCAGAGCACAGGCUCUAGAGCACUCGGGCUUUGGUAGAUGCAGCUCGUGGGCUCAGUAGUUGCGGCACACAGGCUCUAGGGUGCAGGCUCAGUAGUUGUGGCGCACGGGCUUAGUUGCUGCACAGCAUGUGGGAUCUUCCCAGACCAGGGAUCAAACCUGUAUCCGCUAUAUUGGCAGGUGGAUUCUUAACCACUGAGCCACCAGGGAAGUCCCUAGCCUACUGUUUUUGUUUGCAUUUAUUUUGUUGUUGUUGAGUUUGAGCAUCUCUUAAUUUCUUAUAGACCAUUUGCAUUUAGUUUCCUUUAAAAUACUUGCUUGUGUUUUUUUGCCUGUUUUUCUGUUAGUCUUGUGCUAUGUACACACACACACACACACACACACACACAUAAUUACCCAUUAUCUGUCAUAUAUGUU